AUUACGGGUAGAUCUCCCACCCUUUGAGUACUAUACUUUUGUUGCUUUGGCAGGCCGCUUCGGCUACCGGCUUCGGCUGGUGAGUGCCUGCCAGAGGACCCCAAAUUCUGAAUUAUAGUGUCGUCUGAGAACUAUAUAAUAGUUAAAACUUUCAACAACGGAUCUCUUGGUUCUGGCAUCGAUGAAGAACGCAGCGAAAUGCGAUAAGUAGUGUGAAUUGCAGAAUUCAGUGAAUCAUCGAAUCUUUGAACGCACAUUGCGCCCCUUGGUAUUCCAUGGGGCAUGCCUGUUCGAGCGUCAUUUGUACCUUCAAGCUCAGCUUGGUGUUGGGUGUUUGUCUCGCCUUUGCGUGUAGACUCGCCUCAAAACAAUUGGCAGCCGGCGUAUUGAUUUCGGAGCGCAGUACAUCUCGCGCUUUGCACUCAUAACGACGACGUCCAAAAGUACAUUUUUACACUCUUGACCUCGGAUCAGGUAGGGAUACCCGCUGAACUUAAGCAUAUCAAUAAGCGGAGGAA
rnacentral:rRNA from 1 species